CGGGCCCGUAACAUCUGCCCUUCUGUCUCGUCUUAUGAGAGGAGAUUUCCCACAAGGAACUACAUGACCCAGAGCCUUUGGGGCCCUUCAAUGUCUGUCAGUGGUGGCAUCAAUGUCCCAGCGGUGUCAUCCUCUCCGCUUUUUGCUAAUGCUCCAGCUGAGAAAGGAGGCAAAAACUUCAUGGUUGAUUUCCUCAUGGGUGGUGUUUCAGCUGCUGUUUCAAAGACUGCUGCUGCUCCCAUUGAGCGUGUCAAGCUGCUUAUUCAGAACCAGGAUGAGAUGAUCAAGGCUGGUAGGCUGUCUGAGCCAUACAAGGGUAUUGGUGACUGCUUCAAACGUACCAUCAAGGAUGAGGGUUUCUCCUCCUUGUGGAGGGGUAACACUGCUAACGUUAUCCGCUACUUCCCUACUCAGGUAGCCCUCGCCUUUCUUCACUUUCCUUAUGCAUGGUAGCAGAGUUUUAUUUUAUUUUCCGUUGUUAGCUGUUGUAUACCGAACAUAUGUUUGUUCGGUACUCCUGUGAUUACUAUCUUUUUUAUAGCAUCCCUUUUUUGUCCUAAGGUUGUUUUAGAAACCAGACCCUUUUUCUCUAGCUGUGUAUAAAGUUAGAAACUAGAUCUGGUUCCUUGAUAAUCCAAUUAUUUUGUUUUCUGUUUUGUUGGUGGGUAAGUUUUAUUUAUAUUCUUACCUUAACAUUUGUUUUUCUUUGUCCUAGGCAUUGAACUUUGCAUUCAAGGACUACUUCAAGAGGCUGUUCAACUUCAAGAAGGACAAGGAUGGUUACUGGAAGUGGUUUGCUGGCAACCUUGCCUCUGGUGGUGCUGCUGGUGCGUCCUCCCUGUUUUUUGUGUACUCCCUGGACUAUGCGAGGACAAGGCUGGCCAAUGACGCAAAGGCAGCCAAGGGAGGAGGUGAUAGGCAAUUCAAUGGUCUUGUGGAUGUCUAC
rnacentral:lncRNA from 1 species